rnacentral:rRNA from 1 species
UGGUCGGGUUGUUUCCCUUUUCACGAUGGACGUUAGCACCCAUCGUGUGUCUCCCAUGAUAACAUUCUUUAGUAUUCGUAGUUUGCAUUGGUUUAGUAAUCCAAGAUGGACCCUUAGCCAAAACAGUGCUCUACCCCCGAAGCUAUUUAGGUAGCGCCUUAUGAAUUCAUCUUUGGGGGUAGAGCACUGUUUUGGCUAAGGGUCCAUCUUGGAUUACUAAACCAAUGCAAACUACGAAUACUAAAGAAUGUUAUCAUGGGAGACACACGAUGGGUGCUAACGUCCAUCGUGAAAAGGGAAACAACCCAGACCGCCAGCUAAGGUCCCAAAAUCAUAAUUAAGUGGAAAACGAUGUGGGAAGUCAUAAACAACCAGGAUGUUGGCUUAGAAGCAGCCAUCAUUUAAAGAAAGCGUAAUAGCUCACUGGUCGAGUCAUCCUGCGCGGAAAAUGUAACGGGCCUAGAUCAUGUACCGAAGCUGCGGCAACAAUAUUUCAUAUAUUGUUGGGUAGGGGAGCGUUCUGUAAGCCAAUGAAGGUAUAUUGUAAAGUAUACUGGAGGUAUCAGAAGUGCGAAUGCUGACAUAAGUAACGAAAAAGCGGGCAAAAAAAAACCCGCUCGCCGAAAAACUAAGGUUUCCUGUUCAACGGUAAUCGAAGCAGGGUAAGUCGGCUCCUAAGGCGAGGUCGAAAGGCGUAGUCGAUGGUAACAGGUUAAUAUUCCUGUACUAGAUGUAACUGCGAAGGGGGCUCGAAGAAAGCUAAGUUCGCCAGGUGACGGUUAUCCUGGUUUAAGCAUGUAGGUGAAAAACCAGGAUAACCGUCACCUGGCGAACUUAGCUUUCUUCGUACCCCCUUCGCAGUUACAUCUAGUACAGGAAUAUUAACCUGUUACCCAUCGACUACGCCUUUCGACCUCGCCUUAGGAGCCGACUUACCCUGCUUCGAUUACCGUUGAACAGGAAACCUUAGUUUUUCGGCGAGCGGGUUUUUUUGCCCGCUUUUUCGUUACUUAUGUCAGCAUUCGCACUUCUGAUACCUCCAGUAUACUUUACAAUAUACCUUCAUUGGCUUACAGAACGCUCCCCUCCCCA